CUCAGGACGAACGCUGGCGGCGUGCUUAACACAUGCAAGUCGAACGAUGAACCACUUCGGUGGGGAUUAGUGGCGAACGGGUGAGUAACACGUGGGCAAUCUGCCCUUCACUCUGGGACAAGCCCUGGAAACGGGGUCUAAUACCGGAUAACACUGCGGAUCGCAUGGUCUGUGGUUAAAAGCUCCGGCGGUGAAGGAUGAGCCCGCGGCCUAUCAGCUUGUUGGUGAGGUAGUGGCUCACCAAGGCGACGACGGGUAGCCGGCCUGAGAGGGCGACCGGCCACACUGGGACUGAGACACGGCCCAGACUCCUACGGGAGGCAGCAGUGGGGAAUAUUGCACAAUGGGCGAAAGCCUGAUGCAGCGACGCCGCGUGAGGGAUGACGGCCUUCGGGUUGUAAACCUCUUUCAGCAGGGAAGAAGCGAAAGUGACGGUACCUGCAGAAGAAGCGCCGGCUAACUACGUGCCAGCAGCCGCGGUAAUACGUAGGGCGCAAGCGUUGUCCGGAAUUAUUGGGCGUAAAGAGCUCGUAGGCGGCUUGUCACGUCGAUUGUGAAAGCCCGAGGCUUAACCUCGGGUCUGCAGUCGAUACGGGCUAGCUAGAGUGUGGUAGGGGAGAUCGGAAUUCCUGGUGUAGCGGUGAAAUGCGCAGAUAUCAGGAGGAACACCGGUGGCGAAGGCGGAUCUCUGGGCCAUUACUGACGCUGAGGAGCGAAAGCGUGGGGAGCGAACAGGAUUAGAUACCCUGGUAGUCCACGCCGUAAACNGNNNNNNNUAGGUGUUGGCGACAUUCCACGUCGUCGGUGCCGCAGCUAACGC
rnacentral:rRNA from 1 species